GUGGCAUAAAGGGAGUCUUCCUUCUAGAACUACUGCUUAAGCUCCAUUGAGGUUGGUAUAUUGUGAGUGGGAGCUUACUUAGUAACCUACGUGGCCGAUUCUGUCAAACUUGUUGAAAUGGACCUUCCCAAUAGGCAAUGUAUUGGAACACAUUCUAUGGGGCUUUUUAAGUUUACAGGCUGGGGCUUUUUGGAAUAAUAAUACCCAACAGACAGAUGCCCGCUGCCUUUGGAAUGGUCUGGUCUGGACGUGGGUCUUAUAUCUUGUUCACAAUGCUGUCAUUUGCAACUUAUGAAGACUCAAACGGGUAACCAUGUGACACAAAGAGCCUGGCCGGAUGCUCCACCAUACACAAUAAGACAAGGUGCGGGAAGACAUUGCUUGACGAGUGGAUCCUUCCAGGCUCAGGGAACCUGUGGAGAGGGAUGAAAGCAUAGUGAAAAGGACUUGAGUGCCGACGGUCAAGUUGAAUAGGAUCAGCUGUCCUGACAUCUGUGUUGUCGCUCCCUCAGCCAAACCAUCUGAUAUCUACUGCGGUUGUGUGUAUGUGUGUGUUCCUGCGGGGGGACGAAUAAAAAAAAACUAAUUUCAAUUCAGCUCGGCAACAGAUGAAGUGAUGAAAAUAAUUGAAAAUAACAGCUAAGAGCAGGUGGGUUUGCAGAUGGUAACGGCAAAGAUCAGGUGGCCGUUAUUAUACACACAAACCCACAAAGGAACAAGCAUUGAUGAUGUUUUGUCUGUAUGCUUGUAUACAUUGUAUCCAUAUUUUCCCAGUUAUUUGUAGGUUGUGUGUGUAUCUUUGAGCACUUUGAUAAAGUAUCACUUUAAAGAGGAAAACCAUUGCUGCAUUAUGACAAGACAACGUGUGCAGCCAUAUGACUUACAUCCACAUUUUUUAAAUGAAAAGAAACCAGAGGCCCAUUAUCUCUUUGGAUAGGUUUCAUUUUAAUUCCAUGCACUUCUUUUUUCUGUCGUAGUGGGUUUGUUAUGUAAAAACGCAGUCCUCUUUUCCAUGACAAAAUAAUAGAAGGAAUCGUUUGUUAUUUAGGAUGUCACCUGUUUGUAAUGUUCUGAUACCAUCCAUUUUCUUUGAUUACAUGUGUUAUUGAGUGAUGGACAUCAUGAUGCUUGGGAAAUCCUCAAUUUGGAUAGAUUAUUAAAUUGGAUUUAGAUUGGAUGGAAAAUGGCUUUUUAUCAGACUAACCCUUUCACAGGAAGUUAUGAUGAAAAAUGCAAUUUCGGUGAAUCCUCCCAUACCUUAUAUCAGAGAGUUGAAAACUAUCCUAGUGGCGUGGCUAUGGGCAAUAUCCAUGGCUCAGUCAUUCCAUCGUAUUAAUUCAGACUGGAAUAUCUUAACAAAUAUUGGAUGCACUGCCAUGAUGUUCAAACAUUCAUGAUCCCCAGAAAAUGAAUCCUGGUGGCUUAUUCUCUAGUGCCACUAUCCGUUCAACAUUUGUGGCUCUAAGUAAUGUAAUUCCAACAUUUUGUUGCAUUAUCUAUUUCUGCUCUGUAAAUCAUGUUCAUCGGAUAAAUUGUUAUACAUUUGAUGAUCACUUGACUUAUUUUUAAGCGUACUUUCAAAACUAAUGGCAUUAGAAGAUGUUAUAAUGCUUACAUAAAUGUAGAAGAUGAUCAUUACACCAUCUUAGCAUUAGCAUUGUCAAUGAUACAAUUAGAAUUUAGCUUUAAGCAUUAGUCAAAAUUCUCACAGAGCCGUUACAAUGGCUGUAAAUUCAUAACUCCUGUCGUAUGUCCAAUGGUUACAUUUCAAAUAAACACAGGGCAACUACAGUUUGGUGAAGGCACAGGAAGGCUGUGGUUUUGGUUCAUGAAAAGGCAAAUAUGUUCAUGAUGAUGGGGUCGCAAAACAUUCAACAAACCAACUUUAAAACCCUUCGGCCUUGGUUGCUGCAAUGAAGACCGAAUAAAGAUCCAUCACAACAAUGUUUUAGGGGUUCAAUGGGAGAGU